UACAGAGGUGGCAAGCGUUGUUCGGAAUUACUGGGCGUAAAGGGCGCGUAGGCGGUUCGUUAAGUCCUGUGUGGAAUCCCCCGGCUCAACUGGGGAACUGCACAGGAAACUAGCGGGCUUGAGUUCGGGAGAGGGAAGCGGAAUUCCGGGUGUAGCGGUGAAAUGCGUAGAUAUCCGGAGGAACACCGGUGGCGAAGGCGGCUUCCUGGACCGACACUGACGCUGAGGCGCGAAAGCUAGGGGAGCAAACGGG
rnacentral:rRNA from 1 species